GACUCUGUAGCUCAUCUGGUUAGAGAGCUGCUCCAGAAUCGCAGGGCCGCAGGCUCGAAUCCUGCCAGGGACC